CCUACGGGAGGCAGCAGUGGGGAAUAUUGGACAAUGGGGGAAACCCUGAUCCAGCGACGCCGCGUGAGUGAAGAAGUAUUUCGGUACGUAAAGCUCUAUCAGCAGGAAAGAAAAUGACGGUACCUGACUAAGAAGCCCCGGCGAACUACGUGCCAGCAGCCGCGGUAGUACGUAGGGGGCAAGCGUUAUCCGGAUUUACUGGGUGGAAAGGGAGCGUAGACGGCAGCGCAAGUCUGGAGUGAAAUGCCGGGGCACAACCCCGGAACUGCUCUGGAAACUGUGAAGCUGGAGUGCAGGAGAGGUAAGUGGAAUUCCUGGUGUAGCGGUGAAAUGCGUAGAUAUCAGGAGGAACAACGGCGGCGAAGGCGGCUUACUGGACUGUAACUGACGUUGAGGCUCGAAGGCGUGGGGAGCAAACAGGAUUAGAUACCCCUGUAGUC
rnacentral:rRNA from 1 species